AGGAUAGAAAAGGAUGGUGGGAGGAGAGAGGAGAGUUAGAUGAAGAGGGGAAGAUAGUUGAGCCCAUUUGGCGCAAAGGAGCGAAAAGAGAAGAUUAAUCACUGUUCACUGCGAAGAUGGGAGUCCGGAUGGCCCCUGUGCAAGGACAAUCCAAACACAGACAGGUGUUGUAAAGAAUGACCGGUAGAGUAGAA